GACACCGAUGAAAUGUUUGAAAACAUAAACAGCGGAAGGGAAGAAGUCACUCUUAAUCCGAUCUAGCAAGAAAUGAUAUACCGAUAAAGUCAAGCGAGAGAGCUCAUUAAGAAAGAAGGUCAUCCAUCUUACAUCCGCCUUUUUGUUUUAGAUAGGGCGAGGAGGCUAGUACGAGACUCCAAACCACGACGGAUAUUGUCUUAGGAAAUAUAAUGGGACGGGAGGCCUAUCUGACCUUUUGUUUGAUUCCAUUUUCCAACCCUUUCUUUAGAACCAAC
rnacentral:lncRNA from 1 species